rnacentral:rRNA from 1 species
UACGAAGGGGGCUAGCGUUGUUCGGAAUUACUGGGCGUAAAGCGCACGUAGGCGGAUUUGUAAGUCAGGGGUGAAAUCCCGGAGCUCAACUUCGGAACUGCCUUUGAUACUGCAAGUCUCGAGUCUGGAAGAGGUGAGUGGAACUCCUAGUGUAGAGGUGAAAUUCGUAGAUAUUAGGAAGAACACCAGUGGCGAAGGCGGCUCACUGGUCCGGUACUGACGCUGAGGUGCGAAAGCGUGGGGAGCAAACAGG